rnacentral:rRNA from 1 species
AACGAACGCUGGCGGCAGGCCUAACACAUGCAAGUCGAACGCCCUAGCAAUAGGGAGUGGCAGACGGGUGAGUAACACGUGGGAAUAUCCCCCUCAGUACGGAAUAGCCCAGGGAAACUUGGAGUAAUACCGUAUACGUCCGUGAGGAGAAAGAUUUAUCGCUGAGGGAUUAGCCCGCGUCGGAUUAGCUAGUUGGUGAGGUAACGGCUCACCAAGGCGACGAUCCGUAGCUGGUCUGAGAGGACGACCAGCCACAUUGGGACUGAGACACGGCCCAAACUCCUACGGGAGGCAGCAGUGGGGAAUAUUGGACAAUGGGCGCAAGCCUGAUCCAGCCAUGCCGCGUGAGUGACGAAGGCCUUAGGGUUGUAAAGCUCUUUUGGCGGGGACGAUAAUGACAGUACCCGCAGAAUAAGCCCCGGCUAACUUCGUGCCAGCAGCCGCCGUAACAC